rnacentral:rRNA from 1 species
AUUGAACGCUGGCGGAAUGCUUUACACAUGCAAGUCGAACGGCAGCACGGGGGCAACCCUGGUGGCGAGUGGCGAACGGGUGAGUAAUACAUCGGAACGUGCCCAGUCGUGGGGGAUAACGUAGCGAAAGCUACGCUAAUACCGCAUACGAUCUACGGAUGAAAGCGGGGGAUCGCAAGACCUCGCGCGAUUGGAGCGGCCGAUGGCAGAUUAGGUAGUUGGUGGGGUAAAGGCUCAUCAAGCCGACGAUCUGUAGCUGGUCUGAGAGGACGACCAGCCACACUGGGACUGAGACACGGCCCAGACUCCUACGGGAGGCAGCAGUGGGGAAUUUUGGACAAUGGGCGCAAGCCUGAUCCAGCCAUUCCGCGUGCAGGAUGAAGGCCUUCGGGUUGUAAACUGCUUUUGUACGGAACGAAACGGCCUUUCUAAUACAAGAGGCUAAUGACGGUACCGUAAGAAUAAGC